AAAACGCCACGAUGGUGGAAAAUAAACGAGACAAUUUACAAGAUUUUUGUAUUGACAGAAUGACACGCAGUCAUGCAUAUAUUGCAGUUAUUAUCGUAAAAAACUGACGAAUAUAAAAACAGUAAAAAACGGUGUUUUAUACACCGCUUUUUGAGCAGUUAUGUUCCGCCCACUUUUCCCGAAAUCCCGAUGUAUAUUUGACUACGACUCUAAUU